rnacentral:rRNA from 1 species
ACCCGCUGAAUUUAAGCAUAUUAAUAAGCGGAGGAAAAGAAACUAACAAGGAUUCCCUCAGUAACGGCGAGUGAAGCGGGAAGAGCUCAAAUUUGAAAUCUUCGGAAUUGUAGUUUAGAGAAGAGUCUUCGCAGAACCCUCCGACUUAAGUUCCUUGGAACAGGACUCCACAGAGCGUGACAGACGCGUAAAGUCGCGGGGGGAUUUGCAUACGAUGCUCUUUCAACGAGUCGGGUUGUUUGGGAAUGCAGCCCAAAAUGGGUGGUAAAUUUCAUCUAAAGCUAAAUAUUGGCACAAGACCGAUAGCGAACAAGUACUGUGAAGGAAAGAUGAAAAGCACUUUGAAAAGAGAGUCAAAAGUACGUGAAACCGUUAUAAAGGAAGCGAUUGAAGUCAGCAGUGCAGAUUACAUGAUCAGCGACCAGCCUGAGACGAUGGAGAUCGUAAGACUCCUAGGCAAAGGUGGGGUCGUUCACUCUUGUGAUUUGCGGGUCAACCGCGGUUUUCAUUGGGAGAGAGAGGGGCGUGAGAAGGUAGCCUGCUUGCAGGUGUUACAGCUCUAGUCCGUGUCUCCUUGAAGAUCGUUGCAAAGUGGAAUGACCGGACCUUGAGCACUUGUGAGCACGGUGUCGGACUGCACGCAGUGCGGUAACGUAGUAAGCCGGUGCGAGGGGGAGGAUCGAACACUUCUGGGUUGACGAAAUGGCUUUAACCGACCCGUCUUGAAACACGGACCAAGGAGUCUAACAUAUGAGCGAGUGUUUGGGUGUCAAACCCUGACGCGAAGUGAAAGCAAAAGGGGAGGUUAUCCUCGACCGAUCUGGAUAUUCUUUGAAAGAUUUGAGUUAGAGCUCAUCUGUUGGGACCCGAAAGAUGGUGAACUAUGCCUGAAUAGGGUGAAGUCAGAGGAAACUCUGAUGGAAGCUCGUAGCGGUUCUGACGUGCAAAUCGAUCGUCAAAUUUGGGUAUAGGGGCGAAAGACUAAUCGAACCAUCUAGUAGCUGGUUCCCACCGAAGUUUCCCUCAGGAUAGCUGGAACUUUGACAGUUUUAUCAGGUAAAGCGAAUGAUUAGAGGCCGCUGUGGCGAAAUGCUGUAGCCCUAUUCUCAAACUUUAAAUAGGUAAGAAGCCCGACUUGCUUAAGUGAAGCCGGGCACUGAAUGUGAGUUCCAAGUGGGCCAUUUUUGGUAAGCAGAACUGGCGAUGCGGGAUGAACCGAACGCGGGAGUUAAGGCGCCAAAAUCGACGCUCAUCAGACCCCAGAAAAGGUGUUGGUUGAUCUAGACAGCAGGACGGUGGCCAUGGAAGUCGGAAUCCGCUAAGGAGUGUGUAACAACCCACCUGCCGAAUCAACUAGCCCUGAAAAUUGAUGGCGCUUAAGCGUCGUGCCUAUACUCCGCCGUUGGCGCAAAUGCGAGGCGCCAACGAGUAGGUGGGCGUGGAGGUUGUGAAGAAGCCGCGGCGUAAGCCCAGGUGAAACGGCCUCUGGUGCAGAUCUUGGUGGUAGUAGCAAAUAUUCAAAUGAGAACUUUGAAGACUGAAGUGGAGAAAGGUUCCAUGUGAACAGCAGUUGGACAUGGGUUAGUCGAUCCUAAGAGAUAGGGAAACUCCGUUUUAAGACGCGCACUUCGAUGCGCUGCCUAUCGAAAGGGAAUCGGGUUAACAUUCCCGAACCGGGACGAGGAUAGUUUUUGCGGCAACGCAACUGAACUCGGAGACGCCGGCGGGGGCCCUGGGAAGAGUUCUCUUUUCUUUUUAACGUGCUAUAGCCCUGAAAUCGGAUUAUCCGGAGAUAGGGUCUAACGCGCGGUAAAGCAGUACACUUCAUGUACUGUCCGGUGCGCCCCCGACGGCCCUUGAAAAUCCGAGGGAAAGAAUGAUUUUCUCGCCCGGUCGUACUCAUAACCGCAGCAGGUCUCCUAGGUUAACAGCCUCUAGUUGAUGCGACAAUGUAGGUAAGGGAAGUCGGCAAAAUAGAUCCGUAACUUCGGGAUAAGGAUUGGCUCUAAGGGUGCGGCUCAUCGGCCUUUUGAGCGAGACGUGUGAUGGAGACCGGGACUACUGGGGCCUUCGGGACCUGGCGGACCUGGUCACUGUCGUGCGAGGAGCUUGGGAGGUAGCCUUCUUUGAAGGUGCUCGGCGGGCGAUUAAGCACCGACUUAGAACUGGUACGGACAAGGGGAAUCCGACUGUUUAAUUAAAACAAAGCAUUGCGAUGGCCGGAAAUGGUGUUGACGCAAUGUGAUUUCUGCCCAGUGCUCUGAAUGUCAAAGUGAAGAAAUUCAACCAAGCGCGGGUAAACGGCGGGAGUAACUAUGACUCUCUUAAGGUAGCCAAAUGCCUCGUCAUCUAAUUAGUGACGCGCAUGAAUGGAUUAACGAGAUUCCCACUGUCCCUACUUACUACGCAGCGAAACCGCAGCCAAGGGAACGGACUUGGCAGAAACAGCGGGGAAAGAAGACCCUGUUGAGCUUGACUCUAGUCCGACUUUGUGAAAAGACAUUGGAGGUGUAGCAUAGGUGGGAGCUCCGGCAACAAUGAAAUACCACUACUCUGAUCGUUUUUUUACUUAUUCAAUUAGGCGGAACUGGGCUUCAUCGCCCACUUUCUGGAUUUAAGGCGGCUUGCCCGCUGAUCCGAGUUGAAGACAUUGUCAGGUGGGGAGUUUGACUGGGGCGGA